UUUUGUUUAUAUUCGAUAUUAGAUGGAGAUGAAUUAUAUCUGAACUACGUCACAGUAGAAGAUGAUAAACAGAUAGUGUGGUGGUUUAAUAGCAUAUUCAUUACUCUAUUCCACUUAGUGUUCGCUGUCAUUGCCAUGAAUAUUUUCAUUGCCAUUUUUACAUCAACUUACGAAGUCAUGCAGGUAUUGUCUAUUUAUAGUUAUGUUCCGCUUAGUGUUUACAGUUAUUGCCAUGAAUUUUUACAUCAACUUAAGAAGUCAUGAAGGUAUUGUCUAUUAAUAACUGUCAGGGGCGGAUCCAGGAUUUUGGAAAGGGGGGCGAAGUAAUAAUUUUUGCCGAGCGGAGCGAGGCGAAAAAUUUUGGGGACCUUUUUUUUGCUAAAAAACAUAAAAUAAGUGUAAAAUGCAUUUUAGUUAAAGUGUAGGGGCUGGACAUUUUUGGUGCCGUAUUCUCUACAUUGAUUGUCUAUUAUAAAAUGAUUGAAUGGAUCCAAAGCUAUGUACUAUUUAAUAUAUUUGAAGUGGAAUUUGUCAGUAAAAAAUGGACAUGGGAAAUUCCCGUUUGUUGUAUGGUUAGUUAGCAUAACUUUACAGAUUUCUUGUUGUGAACAAGAUAUACGGCUAUUCAAUGAAAUUUACAAUACGACCGACACGAAGAAAAACAAACAAGAAAUUUUUAUCCAUUGAAAUGUUUGGUUGAAAUGUUUCACCCAACAAUGGAAAAAAGUAAUAUCACAAAAAUACUGAACUCAGAGGAAAAUCAAUUCGGAAAGUCCAUAAUCACAUGGCAAAAUCAAAUAACAAACGCAUCAAAAACGAAUGACAAAACUGUCAUAUUCCUGACUUGGUACAGGCAUUUCAAAUGUAGAAAAUGGUGGAUUGAACCUGGUUUUAUAGCUAGCUAAACCUCUCACUUGCAUGACAGUCGCAUCAAAUUCCAUUAUAUAGUCACCGAUGCGUGAACAAAACAAACAGACAUAAUAGGUAAAAAUGUCAAAAAUAGGGACAGCAGUCAACAUUGUGUUAUCAUCUUAAUCACUAUAAAAACAAACAAUGUAACGAAGAAGCACAAAAGCAUACAUCAAAUUAACAUCCUCAUUUUGAUUAUAUUAUACGAUUAUAUUUGUCUAUGUAAAAUGCACCCAUCAAGGAAGGAGGGUAUGGGUACUGGUGUAAAAUUGCGCGUUUGAAAUUCGCACAGGUAGACAUGAAAUAAUUUUGUCGUUCAAAGUAUGACGGGAUGCAUAAAUACAGUCACGCAAAAUAGAUAUAACAAACAUUGACUUAGCAGUUAAAGUAAUAAUAAUAAAUAAAGUAAUAGUGUGGUUCAAAGUAUGACGUGAUACAUAAGUACAGAGUCACGUAAAAUGUAUAUCACAAAAAAAGAAGGUUAACAGUAAAAGUAAUAUUAAUGAAUAAAAUAAUUUUGUCAUACAGUGGAAGCGAGGGGUACAAAUCAACCAAAAGGCUACGAAUGAAUCGGAAACGAAAAUGAAGUUGUGAAUAACGUUCGACACACAUACGCCCGUUUUUUUUUAGAGUGUAAUUAAGAAUUGAAUGCUUCUUUUUGUAACUUCAUUGGGGUGUAAAAGCGUUGACCGAAGUACAUUUUGUAUGAAGCGCGGAAGCUGUGAAGUUACAAAAAGAAGUAUUCAAUACUUAUAAUUAAAUUUUUUUAGCAAUGAUCAUGAAAACACGAAUUUUAUUAUUGUUUUAUUUAUUUCCCCUGUGCACUUUAUUGUGGGACCACGUGUUAUCAUUAAUGAAAAGUUUUAUUGAGCAAUGCAAUUGCUUACGGAAUAACACGUGAUGUGCAGUUAGCCAAUCAGAAUAAAGUAUCAAAAUGAAACAUACAUCUAAUGUAAUUAUUAGAGUAUAAUUUUCUGUUGGGUGGAAUUGUGAUAAAGAAGUCAAUACGUCCUUGCUCAAUACGUUGAAGGCGUCAUCCUUAGCCUAAACAUGUGUUACUGUAAUCUGAAUUUCAAAAUGACUGAGUGACGGUUUUUUUAGACGUACUUGUCAACUCCGUCGUAGCGAAUCACAUAACUUUGACAUAAUCAAUAAUAUAUUACAGUGAAUACGAGCGAAAAAUAUCUUUAUAAGUGGAGAACUGUCGCAUUAAAAUUAAAUACACAGCAAAAUUCACAAAGUCUAGGCUGAUUAUUAAUCAUUUUAUAUAAAUAAAAAAGAAGUUCCAGCAAAUGGGGGGGGGGCGUACGCCCUCUACGCCCCCUCUGAAUCCGCCACUGACUGUGUUUCACUAAGUGUUCGAAGUAAUUGUCAUGUACAAUAUCCGAUUGCCCUUUUUACAUCAACUUACGAAGUCACGCAGGUAUUGUCUAUUUAUAACUUUGUUAGUUAUUGCCAUGCAUUUUUACAUCAACUUACAAAGUCAUGCCGGUAUUGUCUUAAAUAACUUUGUUUCACUUUGCGUUCGCUGUAGUGCAAUGAAUAUUUUCACUGUUAUUUUUACAUCAACUUACGAAGUCAUGCAGGUAAUGUCUUAUUUUUAACUUUAUUCCGCUUAGUGUUGGCAGUAAUUACCAUGAACAUUUUCAUUGCCGUUUUUAAGUCAACUUACCAAGUCAUGCGGGUAUUAAAGGACUUGUUUGAUAAACAAAAAAUGUUAUAAGAAUGAGCUAUGUUUCAUAUGACUAUUAUUUUACUUGGAAUAGUGUAAGAUAACUUAUCAUAAUUUGCAUAAAAUUUAUGCUAUUUAAAUGACAAUCAGUUUUAGCUGCUGAAGAGUACCAAAUGAUUUUUUAGUUAUAUUAUAUAUUUGAUAUUUUCUACUUGAAAAUUACUCGAUGAUUUUUUUUUUAAAAUAGGAAAAUAUUGAUUGAUUUUUUUUUUAAGGAAAAGGAUGAGAGGAGUGAUCUUAAAAAGUGGUUAGACAACUAUCGCCAUAAAAAGAAAUUCAAUUUGCCAAAAAAAUGCAAAACGUGUUUCUGUGGGUAAGUAACACUUAUGUAUUUGUUUGUAUUGGUCAGUUACGCCGAAAUGUAUGCCUUAAAUCUGUUCGGUAGAUAAAAAAUGAAAAAGAACAUUUAGACAAAAUAACAAUGGCUAUGUACGUGAAAAAAGAUCCCCAUUAUAAAAAAUACAUAUAUUUGUAUGUUAAAUAAAAUUAAGAAUGGAAAAUGGGGAAUACGUCAGAGAGACAACAAUCCCAAGAGCAGAAAGCAGCCUCUAUAAAUGGAUCUUCACAUGAAGGUGGGGAUUCAACUGGCCCCUUAAUGAUCAUUUGUCUAGAUCAAAAAUAAAUGAACAAAAAUUUUAAAAAUAACAUACAAGUUUGACAAAGCCAGAGGUUGGUGAAAAUUAAUAACUAAAUGGUAAUGCUGGAUUUUGCAAUGUUUAGAUAUUGAUAUAAAAGAACGUUAAUCAUUUUGUAUGGCUGUUUUACGUUUUACAGUUGUAUGUUAUAACAAGAACCUUUCGGAGCACAGUCGGGAAUUCCUUGAAUAUAGAUAUGUAUGAAAUGUGUUUAGCAUGUGACUGUGUGUUUUAUGUUUGCUUGUAAUGUUCAUGAAUCAUUUUAAAUUUCAUAAACUUUAUUUUUUAAGUCAUUCUACAGGCAGUGGAAAUUCUUUUCCUUUUCAUUUUUCCGUUGCGAUGUACUUCGAAUCUGUUUUGGUUGCAUUGUUUACUAUCAUACCUCAUUGUACAAGAACCACGUGUUUAAGAUUAAAUGCAAAUUAGAAACUGUAGGAAUUCUGUCACAAUUCAUAAUUUAACUACACUCCUAAAAUGUAUUGUAGUUUUGGGAGUUCAAUUAGUAAAGAUGCUACUAGUAAAUGGAAAACCCAUUUGGAAAAUAUCAUAAAAAAAUGUAUCUAAACAUUUGAAUGUUCUUAGAAAAUUAAAGUACAGGAUAAGUAGGAGUAACUUAGAAAUUUGAAAUCGAACUAAAAAAUCUUAAAUUGAAUUCAAAAGCCCAUGUACUAAAAAAUUAUGACUUUGGAAAUCGCUAACUCAACAUUAGUUUGACACAACUUAGAUACUCAGCCUCUUUUUUGAAUUAUGAUCUUAAAAGAGUCAACAUUAUUUCAGAAUACGUCUUGCAGAACUUUGUGGUGCUAAGUGCGAAGAUUCACGUCACUUCUUUUUUUAUUGUCCUAAUUAUGUGAAUAUAAGAAUCAAAUUAUUUAAUAAUCUAUAUUGGUUGCCAGAGAACUCUCCACUAAAUCAUCUUAACCUCAGGUGAUACGUCUUUAACUAAUGUUGAAAAUGAAAGAAUUGUAAAGAAUGUAUAUAAAUUUAUUCAAAAGUCUAAGAGGUUUCUAAUUGUGUAAUAUCGGACAUUAUAAAGUGCAAAUGCAUGCAUAUUGUGUAUAACCAUUCACAUCAUCACAAACCAUUUUUUCACAGUUCCAAUAUUUUAUACAUAGAGAAUAAUACAUGGCAAAAUACGUAUCAUAUGCCCGUUAAUCCCGAGAUACCAAUAUCAACCAGAGUGCCUUUAGACCCGAGGGAUGAUAUUGGUUGAGGGAGAUACGGCAUGUGAUACGGAUUUUGCCAUGUUUUAUACGCUUUAUCAUAUAUCUCAACAGGAGAGUAGCACCUGUGUUACCUCCAGUUCUACUUUUGUCUUGUUUUAAAAGCUUUAAAAGAACUGCUCAAUUACUCAUCGGAAGCACCUGGGUUACCUUAUAAUUUGCGUGCUGGUUGUUUUAAAAAAUGUUUUGUUAAUUGGUUUUUUUUUAUGUGUGUGUGUUUUGAAUGGUAUUUAAUUGAGUUCUUUUUAUAGUUUCAUUUCGUGUGCCAGAAAUUAUGAAAAUUCUACGUUUAUCACGUCACAUUUCUAACAAUGAGGUAAUUCAAAAAAUUGCGUCACGCCCGAAUGACCGUUCAUUUGGGACCCAUUUUGCGGAAAAUAUUUCUUGAGACGGACUUUAUUUAAAAAUGAAAAAAAAGGAGUAGGGGUGUGGUAAAGGGUAUGAUAAAAGGUGCGCAUUAAAGUUGCGCGAAAUGGAUUAAACAGCAAGCUAUUUAUCAAAUAUUCAAAACUACUCUAUUUACUACUAAAUAUAUGAUAAAUAUAUAUAAUAAAAAGUAGAACAUGCAAUGAAAAUAAACAAUACAGAAACUUUCUACGAUAAUCCUUUCUGUAAUAAAACUAUUUACAAAACCUAAGUCGUACCCCCACUAGAACAUGUAACGUGUACAUUACUUAUAAAUGCUUAUAUAAAAAUUUGAAGAUGUGGUAAGAUUGCAAGGGAGACAACUCUCCAACAGAGACCAAAUCACAUAUAAGUUUUCAACUCUAGGUAACACUACGGCAAUAGCAAAACACAUAUACCGCAUAGUCAAAUAUUAAAGGCCCCAAGUGACAGACUAAGAAACUUCUACAGUGCGAGCUAUUAUUCCUGUUUCGAGCCGAGUACAAAUACAUAUGGUAUUUAAAAACACUAAACAGUAUAUUUUUAAAAAAUGUAACUGACUAAUUCUGAGUUUUUCUUAUGUUUGUCAGUCUGUUUCUGUAUAGCUAUGACCAAAAUUGUUGUUUUGUUUGUUUUACUUAAAGAAUAAGGGUUUUUGUAUAAGAUUUAAGGACGCCUCAUGAUUUAUGAUUUUUUGCAGGUGUAUCGAGAUAGUUGAUGGUUGAUGGUUACAUACUUUAAAAGAAAAGAAGAUAUUAGUGUACAAACGCCAUCGUGUUAUAGGAUGCACAGUAACCAUAGCAUUUCCAAUGACAUUAUUGGUUUUAUGCUCAAUACUGCACCGCCUUCGAGAAUAUCUGAUAUUUUACUUAACUUGCUCAAAAGUUUUGUUUAUGUUUGUUGUUUUGUCUGUGCUCUUUCAUUUAAAUCCCAGCUAGGUUGUAUAAAUCGACAGAGGACUAACUGUACAGGUUUUUUAAAUGUUAUUUGAG
rnacentral:lncRNA from 1 species